AUUUUGAAUACCACUAAAUUUUUCCAAAACACUAAACCCGACAGAUUUGUUUCAGAAUUUCUUUGAAAUAACCGCUCGCUUGGACCUAUAGACCAGCGCGGUCAAGCGAGCGGAAAAAUUGCUCCCAAUUAGUGGUUUUGAAACGACUCAAGGUAUGUGGCACUCACACAGGAAAUGACAUCAACGGGUCAAAACUAAAAAUAUGUCGCAGGGCGUACGGUGACUAUGGGACGCCCUGAACUUGCUCUGUAGCCUACUGAUUGCUUCGAGACAGGUUUCUAUAGUUUUGGAAAGUGGAUGCUGAGGACCUGAGCUGGGUGAGCGCUUCUCAACCAUCACUUUCAUCCUCUGCAAGUUCAGCGCAGACGACACACUUUCACUGGGACGCCGAGCCGGUGUGCUGUCGCAGGUGCAGCUGCUGUCUGGGGCAGAGAGAGGAGACAGACAACACAUACAGUGAAUGCUGGAGUUUUGACAGUUGAUGGAAAUGUGGUUAUAUACACAUACUCAACAGACAUCCGAUGCACACACGGAUCCCUUUACCCUGGCACGUUGAGGAACAACUGAACAAGCAGAUAAAAUGCAAACCCUCGUCAUUUCUCCCACAAUCUAACCAUUAGCUCAGAAAUCAAGGUGCCGCUCUGCAGCUCUGGAUCCCUGAGCCAGGUCCUGAUUGCAAGUUACUGGGCUGGGGAUAUCAAGUGCGAAAGGAGAAAUGUGAAAUCCCAGAUAAAACCUGGAGCCUUAAGGAGCCAUGAAGUGCAUGUAAUGAGGAAAGUGAUGGGGAUUGGGUGUGCUGAGCACACAGUCACAUGGAGGAUGUCUUUGAGUGAGAGUCUCUGUGACAUUUGUCCUCCCUAAUCCAGGAUUUAUAGAGGACUCACAAAAUUCAACAAGGUUAAAUCAGUAGGCAGGUUAGCAAAGCAUAACAGAAGCACGGCUUGACAAAAAUUAGUAGGCACUAGACAACCUGUGAAUGGCUUGUCUUGCCUUGAUGGACAAUAUUACGUGUUCAUCAAGUGAAACACACAUUCUUAUUCGUGUUCAUAACUCUUUCACAGUUUGGUGAGUUGAUGAAUUUGAAUAGAUUAAUACAAUCUCACUUGUAGAUUUUUGUAUGAUCUGCUUAGACUUCAUUGAAGGUAAGUUUAGGGUUGGUUUGGUUAUAGGUUAAAAGUGGCCUUUCAUGAUUACUUACAUUUUUUUUUUACUCAUAUGAUUUUGCCACACAAUACAUUGAUACUGUCCUAUAUGGUUCCAGAGAUUUUGCACUUCUCUUUGUUUUUAUGCCCUGUUAGGGUUUUGUAAUACUGCUAAGCUAAUGACCGUAUUUUGCAGAGCCUAAUAAGUCAAAAAUGCAUCUGCCCUGGAAAAGCUGAAUAAUGGCAGAUAUUAAUGGAGCUGGGCCCUGAAUGAUUCCCGGGUUGGCGUGGCAGUUAAACGCAUUCCAGGUUUUGUGGAGGCCAUUAUUCCUGCUCCUUAAUCACCACCUCUGCUUUUAUUACCCCCAAAGCCUCACUGUGUGGCUCGGGGAAACCACAUGUGGGCACAGGCCAGGAAAUGUCGAGCAGACAAGAAAAUGUCUUCCUUUCCCCUUAAAAGUAAUAGCCUUAACCAAACACCAAAGACAGGCUGUUCUUAACCAGAGUUUGCUGUCUAUAAUCGUUUAUGGGAUAUCAGAUGCUGUACUGGAGGAAUUGUUGGUUUUUGUUGAAGAUGUGUAAUCGGUAUGUAGUUAAAAUGAUGCUAGGAACUUUAGAAGUCAAAUAGUUUUCACGUGUCACUUGAAGUUGUGUUGAAAAAGCUGGUCUUAAAGGUAUACUCCACUCCAAAAAAGAAAAUUGUCAUUAAUCACUUACCCCCAUGUCGUUCCAAA